GGUUGUAUAGCUCAGUGGUAGAGCACAUGCUUAGCAAGCAUGGAGUUCUGGGUUCAAUCCCCAGUAUCUCUG
rnacentral:tRNA from 1 species